GGAUCGAGCAUAUAAUGUUCAUGAAAAAAGUGUUGCAUAUGCUGUAGAGGAAGCUUAACCAGACUUCAUAUUCCUCGGAGUGUACACCAGCCAGAUCUUUGCCUUACUCACCAUUGAUGAGGGAGAGAUUCCUGUCACAUGUCACCUCUACGUUGAUA